UGGCUUUGCUGGUUACCUGUUGUGCCUAUUACCUCAAAAUGGUGCUAUGUGUUCUCUCACUUGGUCUGGCUGCAGGAUUGUAAGUCUCAUAUCAGCACUGUUAGCAUGUACCAUAGACAUGCUGCUGCUACACGCAGUUCUUCUGUCCCUUCUGCUACCUCAUUCUCUCUCACUUCAUUCUUCAGAUCCAUUUCUCUAGACAUCACUGACUCUAUCCUGGAAGACAACCAAUCACACCUCUGACUAUACCAUGGCCAUUCUCCCCAUACACAGUUUCUAGAAAUAGUAGUUACAAAAGUUACUGUAUAGAUGGCAAAAUCAUGAACAGCUAGAGAAGAAGAUAGUAAAAAAGAGAAAAAAAGGGAAAACUGCCCGUACAACAAUCUACAUUUUACCCAUGGUUGCUAUUGAAAAUUCCCUUCAUGUUUCUGGCAUGUGAACAAAUUUCAUGUGUGAGGUUUUGUUUGUUUGUUUUGUUUUAUCUAUUUGUCUUUCUGUUGCUUCCAAUACUGUAUGGACACUGGAGUUACAAGUAAUCUGAUGCAGUGAAAUAACAUGGUCAUACAUAAAUAACAUAAAUAAUAUGGAAAUAGCAGUGAAUGUAUGACAAUGUUGCAGCCUUCAAUAAGAGCUCUGAAUGUCUCAAUAUUUUUUACAUCCUUACCCCUACAGAUUUUUAUUUUUAUUUUUUUUUAACAUUGUCUUCAUCUUACAGUUGAGGAACAGACAAGGAUUUCCGAAGUGAUUUAGAUGUUGGUCUAAUGGCAGAACAAAGUUUAACAUCUCAUAACUGCCUAGUGGAAUUACUAGACCUCACUUAUCUGGUCAAGUUGGUCACAUGAACAUAUGUCUAUCAAGUAAAGCCACCUAAGAAAAGGUCAGAAUUAGCAAUCUGAGCACAGAGUUAAAUGGAGGACAUAAUCAACACUGAAGCAGUCAAUCAGCUAUUGAUUCAAAAGGGCUCUUGAACUAUGAACUUACUGCUGAAGCUGAAGACAUAUCAGCCAUUUGUCUCUUUGUUAUCUGCCUUACAGCAUAUCUUUUUACUCUG